AAGACAUGACAUGAGUUUCAACUCCUGGAAAGAGAUCAGGGAGGUAAUGGGGAUAGAUGGAAUGAAAUCAGGGAGGUAAUGGGAAUAGAUGGAACGAGAUCAGGGAGGUAAUGGGAAUAGAUGGAAAGAGAUCAGGGAGGUAAUGGGAAUAGAUGGAACGAGAUCAGGGAGGUAAUGGGAAUAGAUGGAACGAGAUCAGGGAGGUAAUGGGGAUAUAUAUAGCCCCCACACAUUGACUCUGUACCGGUACCCCCCCUGUAUAUAGCCUCCACAUUGACUCUGUACCGGUGCCCCCUGUAUAUAGCCUCCACAUUGACUCUGUACCGGUACCCCCUGUAUAUAGCCUCCACAUUGACUCUGUACCGGCACACCCUGUAUAUAGCCUCCACAUU
ensembl:lncRNA